CCUGGAAACAGAUGCUAAUACCGGAUAACAACACUAGACGCAUGUCUAGAGUUUAAAAGAUGGUUCUGCUAUCACUCUUGGAUGGACCUGCGGUGCAUUAGCUAGUUGGUAAGGUAACGGCUUACCAAGGCAAUGAUGCAUAGCCGAGUUGAGAGACUGAUCGGCCACAUUGGGACUGAGACACGGUCCAAACUCCUACGGGAGGCAGCAGGU
rnacentral:rRNA from 1 species